GUAUGAUUUUUCAGGACCACGAUGGAAAACGCGACGCUACGCAAAUCCGCCGCUCGAUUUUAAUGAAAAAUUGCGUGUAACUAUUAUAAUUUAGCUAUUACAUUGCAUAGUUUUACUCGUUCAACAACAAAAAAACCCGGUCGAGUUAUUUUAUAGUGUACGGUUUUUAUAUAGUUUUACAGUUUUUCCAAGUCAUCGUAAUAUUUCGAAAAAGUAUACAAAUUGGAACGUUUCACAUUUUCGCGACUUUGUAUGACUAUAUUGUUGCACUGCGAUGUAUCA